ACUCCUACGGGAGGCAGCAGUAGGGAAUUUUCCGCAAUGGACGAAAGUCUGACGGAGCAAUGCCGCGUGAGUGAUGAAGGUUUUCGAAUUGUAAAGGCUCUGUUGUAAGGGAAGAAUAGCAAGAUAGGAAAUGAUUCUUGUCUGACGGUACCUUACCAGAAAGCCACGGCUAACUACGUGCCAGCAGCCGCGGUAAUACGUAGGUGGCAAGCGUUAUCCGGAAUUAUUGGGCGUAAAGCGCAUGAGGCGGCUUUUUUAAGUCUGAUGUGAAAGCCAGUGGCUCAACCACUGAAUUGCAUUGGUACUGG
rnacentral:rRNA from 1 species